GGCUAAUUCGGAUGGCCCGGUUCCUUUCGGGGCUGCGUGCUGUCUCUGAGUUUGCCAUCCUUUCAGAGAGCUGCGCCUACCGCUUCUGCGGCCGGGCGCUGUGAUCUGAAUCUUUUACUUUGAAAAAAUUAGAGUGUUCCAAGCAGGCUUACGCUUUGAAUACAUUAGCAUGGAAUAAUAAUAUAGGACUUCGGACCUAUUUUGUUGGUUUCUAGGACUGAAGUA
rnacentral:rRNA from 1 species